rnacentral:rRNA from 1 species
CAGCAGCCACGGUAAAACGAAGGGGGCUAGCGUUGCUCGGAAUUACUGGGCGUAAAGGGCGCGUAGGCGGACAGUUCAGUCGGGGGUGAAAGCCCGGGGCUCAACCUCGGAAUUGCCUUCGAUACUGGCUGUCUUGAGUAUGAGAGAGGUGUGUGGAACUCCGAGUGUAGAGGUGAAAUUCGUAGAUAUUCGGAAGAACACCAGUGGCGAAGGCGACACACUGGCUCAUUACUGACGCUGAGGCGCGAAAGCGUGGGGAGCAAACAGGAUUAGAUACCCCAGUAGUCCCUGUCUCUUAUAC